rnacentral:rRNA from 1 species
UUUCACAGCUUGGCCGGUUUCCAAAGAGCUAAAGAGAAAUAGACCUGGUUAAUAUUUGGAUGGGAGACCACCAGGAAAUCCCAGGGCUGUAGCAU